rnacentral:tRNA from 1 species
UCUAUUAUGGCAGAAUAGUGCUAUAAACUUAAGAUUUAUCAAAAAAGUAUAAUCUUUUCUUAGAA